rnacentral:lncRNA from 1 species
UGGAGAGACAAUCAGUUUCAUUACCCGGCUAAUCAAGUCACUUACCCCAUUCAACAAGUUUGCUCGAUUGACCUUCUUCCUGAAGAACAUAGAGCUUUUAUCAGUAAGCUAGAUGUGGAAUUCAUACCACAAAGCUAUGAAGAAGCCAAGGAAAGAAAGGAAUGGACUAAUGCUGUGGAUGAUGAGGUUCAUGCUAUGGUUAGGAAUCAUACUUGGGAUGAAGAAGAGCUUCCACCAGGGAAGAAGUGUGUGAGUUCAAAAUGGGUUUUCACCAUAAAAUAUAAGAAUGAUGGUGAAAUUGAGAGAUAUAAGGCUAGGCUAGUGGCAAGAGGGUUUACUCAGACAUAUGGUGAAGACUAUAGAGAAACUUUUGCGCCAGUAGCUAAGCAACACACAGUCAAGGUUGUUCUUUCUCUAGCGGUGAAUUUGGAUUGGGAAUUGUGGCAGAUGGAUGUCAAGAACGCUUUUCUUCAGGGGGAGUUAGAAGAAGAAGUGUAUAUGACACCACCUCCGGGUUUAGAGGAUACAGUGGCUCCAGGGAAGGUGUUAAGACUUCGAAAAGCUAUCUAUGGCCUCAAACAAUCCCCAAGAGCUUGGUAUCACAAGCUGAGUUCAACCUUGCUUAGAGAAGGUUUCAAAAGGUCACAUUCUGAUCACAUUUUGUUCACUAAACAGGAUAAUCAAGGAAUUGUAGUAGUUUUGAUCUAUGUUGAUGACUUGAUUAUCUCUGGAAGUAACAAAGCAGGUAUCCAAGCUACCAAGUCUUCUUUACACUCUGCUUUUGAUAUUAAAGAUUUGGGUGUUUUGAAGUAUUUCUUAGGGAUUGAGGUGUGUAGAUCCAAGGAGGGACUAUUUCUCUCACAAAGGAAAUACGCUCUUGAUCUUCUAAAACUUACAGGAAAGCUUGGAGCUAAACCAGUAGAUACACCACUCGAGCAAGGGUACAAGGUCAAUCGAAAGGGGGAAAAAGAUGACACUCCUUAUCAUUGCCCCGAACAAUACCGAAGACUCGUGGGUAAGCUUAUCUACUUGACAUAUACUCGACCUGAUUUAUCUUUUGCUGUGAAUCAGGUAGCUCAACACAUGCAAGCUCCCACUGUUUAUCAUUGGAGUUUGGUGGAGAGAAUUUUGAGAUAUAUCAAAGGAAGUCCCGGCAAAGGCAUAUGGAUGGGAAGAAACUCUAGCACAGAGAUUGUUGGAUAUUGCGAUGCAGAUUACAAUGGGGAUCGCAACACAAGACAAUCAACAACUGGUUUUUGUACAUUCAUUGGUGGGAAUCUUGUGACUUGGAAGUCGAAGAAGCAGAAAGUGGUCUCUUGUUCGAGUGCUGAAGCAGAGUAUAGAGCUAUGAAGAAACUCACAAACGAGUUAACAUGGCUAAAGGCUUUGUUAAAGGACUUUGGGAUCGAGCAGAAGACUCCAAUCACUUUUCAUAGUGACAAUCAAGCGGCCAUCCACAUUGCUACCAAUCCCGUGUUCCACGAGAGGACCAAGCACAUAGAGUCGGAUUGCCACAAGACAAGAGAGAAGAUAGAAGAUGGUACGAUUCUCCCUUGUUACACUAAGAGUUCGGACCAAUUGGCCGAUAUCUUUACCAAGGCAGCAAGUAACCAAGUUUGCCAAUUUAUUCAUGGUAAACUUGGUCUUGUAGACCUGACACAUCCUUGAAAAAUAUUCUCCAACUUGUAGGGAUAAUACUCUUUUUCCCUAAGCUUGGUUUUGUCCCACGUGGUUUUUCAAGCUUAGGUUUUUAAUGAGGUUAUUCAUACAAAUGUCAAGUUUAUACACAAUUGGGCAUUGUGGUAUAAACUUGAGGGGGAGUGUUAAUCAAGAAGACAUUUAACACUAACUAAGUCAUAGUUAAGGGUUAAAUGUAGGUUACUUGGGUUACUCGGGUUACAGGUUACAUGGGUUACUCGGGUUACAGGUUACUUGGGUUACUCGGGUUACUCGGGUUACAAGGCUGAAUGAGGGUGUUUUUGGUCUUUGUGCACAACCCAUCUCAGACCUAGAUUAUGUUCUCUAUAUAAACGUGUGUGCCUCCUUGUUGUGUUUCACACAUCUUUCAUCAAUACAUUUCUGCUUCUCUCCAAUCUUAAAUCAUGGUUUCAUCAAUCUUUCCUACUUAAAUAUUAACAGUCCAAUGGUAGGUUCUCUAGUGGGGUUCUUAGAAAAAGAAAAAAUUAUAAAAAAUUGUAUAUCAUAAAAAUUAAUAAUUAUAGCAAUUCAUAAAAAAUUAAACACCCAUUUGUUGAUGCUUAAAAGGUUAUAUCAUUACAUGAAUAUAAACAUGAAACAUUGAGCAUUCCUCUUCUAUGAUAAAUCGACAUAUAACAAUAACCAAGACCAAUGAUAAACUAGAAACAAGAACAAUGGUAUAUACGAAUAUAAACAUGCAUGAAGCAUUAAUCGUUGACCAUUCAACAGCUUAAGUCACUGGAAUCAUCAUCAAUGAAUACCAAGUGCAAAGAGCCAAACUAUAACUACAAGAAUGUUGGCCUUGAUUCUCUCGGUAACGUCAUUUGUGCUUUUUAAACAUGUUGUUCGAUGAAAAAACAUUCUGACGUGGUGGAACCGAUUAAAGAUGUGAAGACUUAAUUAUUGGUGAAACCAUGUUGUAGUGUCAGCAGCUUGAUCAAAGCCAAGAAUAUUCAGUGGUUUGGUUUCAGUCCCAUUCUUGUUUUUCUUUGCCAUCUUCAGCAAACACAUAAGAUAAGUGAUAGAUUAAGUCUCUAUUCUUAUGCCAAAAAAAAAGUUUAAGCAGGGUCGUACUCAGAGCCGUGUCUAAGAUUACAGACACCAGAGGCGAUGUUAUAAAAAACCUCAACCCAUAUAAAAUAAUUUUUUGAAAAAAAAUAAUAUGUGAGACCAAAGCGGGUUAAUAGUCCUCUUAUAAAUGGGAGAUCAAAUUAGAGGUGCAUGUUAACCAUAUUUUUUCGAAGGAUUUAGGAUUUUCUCCAAAACUAAACGCUACCUAGAUAUAUA